rnacentral:rRNA from 1 species
GAUGAACGCUGACAGAAUGCUUAACACAUGCAAGUCUACUUGAACUUCGGUUUGGGUGGCGGACGGGUGAGUAACGCGUAAAGAACUUGCCUCACAGUUAGGGACAACAUUUGGGAACGAAUGCUAAUACCUGAUAUUAUGAUUUUAGGGCAUCCUAAGAUUAUGAAAGCUAUAUGCACUGUGAGAGAGCUUUGCGUCCCAUUAGCUAGUUGGAGAGGUAACGGCUCACCAAGGCGAUGAUGGGUAGCCGGCCUGAGAGGGUGAACGGCCACAAGGGGACUGAGACACGGCCCUUACUCCUACGGGAGGCAGCAGUGGGGAAUAUUGGACAAUGGACCAAAAGUCUGAUCCAGCAAUUCUGUGUGCACGAUGACGUUUUUCGGAAUGUAAAGUGCUUUCAGUUGGGAAGAAAAAAAUGACGGUACCAACAGAAGAAGUGACGGCUAAAUACGUG